UUUGCCUACAUACUCAAUGGAAUCGGCUGUAACUAAAAACUCGAAUACAUUUUAACAGACAGGGUCAUGUUUGUUGAUGAAUAUUGUUUUUCCUAGAUUCACUCUUGAAAAAUCAUUUGGUAACAUUUGGUCAAGUAAUUUCAGAAAGAUCUUUUUGUAAUUGCGGACGCCAAGACAAUACAUGAACCUCACACGACCCCUCGACACAGGUGAGCUUAUAUAUGAUCUUAUAGCGAUUCGGGUUGAUAACCAGUUGAAAUUAAGCCAGUUUUUUGUGUGUGUAGAUUUGUAUUGUUUUAUAAAAAAAGAAGAUGUGAUAUGAUUGCAAAUGAGACAACUAUCCACAAAAGACCAUAAUGACACAGA
rnacentral:lncRNA from 1 species